UACGGGAGGCAGCAGUGGGGAAUAUUGCACAAUGCGCGCAAGCCUGAUGCAGCCAUGCCGCGUGUAUGAAGAAGGCCUUCGGGUUGUAAAGUACUUUCAGCGAGGAGGAAGGCAUUGUGGUUCAUACCCGCAGUGAUUGAC
rnacentral:rRNA from 1 species